rnacentral:rRNA from 1 species
GAUGAACGCUGGCGGCGUGCUUAACACAUGCAAGUCGAACGAGAACGGAUUAUAGCUUGCUAUAAUUGUCAGCUAAGUGGCGCACGGGUGAGUAAUGUAUAGGUAAUAUGCCUCUUACUAAGGGAUAACAAAUGGAAACGUUUGCUAAUACCUUAUACUCCUUAUUAACAUAAGUUAAUAAGGGAAAGAUUUAUUGGUAAGAGAUUAGCCUGUAUUGUAUCAGUUAGUUGGUGGGGUAAUGGCUUACCAAGACUAUGACACAUAACUGGUUUGAGAGGAUGAUCAGUCACACUGGAAAUGAGACACGGUCCAGACUCCUACGGGAGGCAGCAGUGGGGAAUAUUGCACAAUGGACGAAAGUCUGAUGCAGCAACGCCGCGUGGAGGAUGACACAUUUCGGUGCGUAAACUCCUUUUAUAUGAGAAGAUAAUGACGGUAUUAUAUGAAUAAGCACCGGCUAACUCCGUGCCAGCAGCCGGCAGUAA